GUCGGGAUAGCUCAGUCGGUAGAGCAGAGGACUGAAU
rnacentral:tRNA from 1 species